CGGCAGCAUCUCUGGUCGAUUUCACCUCGGCGGCAUCCCUGGUCGAUUUCACCUCGGCGGCAUCCCUGGUCGAUUUCACCUCGGCGGCAUCUCCGAAUGUCAGAGAUGGAGAGCGAGAGUUUAUGUCGGAAGGAAGUUUGUUCAGUAUGGAGCAGGAAUUGCAGAGGGCACAGCGGAAGCAGCGGGCAGAUCGGGAGUGGGCCUGAGGCACUCCACUGAUUCACCGCUGAAAGCGGGGAAAGAUUCAUUUCACAUGAUUGCAAGAAUGGGGGCCUAGGUGAGUAGACCUACCUUUAAAACUUCAAAGGCAGCGUUUUAUUUCCUUCCCAGAAGCACAAGUCCCUCCCCUGAUUCCUCAUUAAUUGGAUGUUACAAAAGUUACAUGGAUCUUCAGUCCUCUUUACAUAGGCAGUCCCUGCCUCAAAGGAGUUUCCAUUCUAGAAAGGGAAAGGUAACAGAGGAGGGCUAAGGGCAAAGAAUAAAAGAUUCUUUUCCAAUCAAAAGGCACCACCCCAGAACACAAGUCAGUCUUAAGCCAAGGGGCUUACAUUCUUUUGGAGGAAGAUAACCACCCUCCACCCUUGAUUAUUCCUUGAUGUCCUUAUGGGUCUCUGCCUUCCAAUUUAAGCUUCAUUUCACCAACUUUCCUAAUUGUGGAAACCAAAUGCACAUCCAUUUCUCACGAGGGGAUCAAACUGUUCCAAGUCAUUCUCAUAGUAGGUGGCAGUGUUGCAUCCUGGGGAGCCCUUCCAGGAUCUACCUCCUGGCUGUACUGACCUGGAGAUGGUAUAAGUUUGGGCAGGAAGCAGAGGUGGGUUGCUCACUGCUGGAGAAUGCCCUGGAGGAUGAGGUGGAAAGGGUCUCAUUAUUGGCCUGACCACCUGGACCCAGUUCUAGAGAAGGCCCUGAAGCAUUUUAUUUUGUGUGCAGGAAUAAAUGACCAGUUCCCUGCCAGAUUCAUGGUAUACAUUCAGUACCUUUUUUCUUUUUAAACAGCUUCCUUUUGGGGAAACCCUAGAAGUGAACCACAACCUAAUUUUUCUCUGGAGUGCAAUGGUGGAAAGUUUGAUGAAUCAGUAAGGAUGAGAAAAGAAGCCUUCUCAUUAGGGGCCAAGUUUCCCCAGGACUGAUCUUGGCCCAGACAGGAAGCCUGGGUCCAAAACAGAAGGGCCCCUUAGUGCAUCAUCACCUUGGGAUCCUUGGGACCAUCACUAGUUUCACAAUGCUAGACUUAUAUGUGAUUGGGUUGCUUCCCCUGAUAGAAUGAUAUGAGCUACAUAAGCUGCUAUAUACAUCUUAGCUAUUUUUACUAGUAUUAUUUAACUCGAAUCUCUCCAUCUUUUCCACAAAAAAUGGUAUGAGACACUUUGUCAAUCGUUUUGCUAAAAUCUAAGUAAAUAUACUUGAAGUGGCUAGCUGGCUCAAUGGAUUGAGCACUGGGUCUGGAGUCAGGAUAACUUGAGUUCAAAGGCCACCUAAGCUGUGUGACCUUGGGCAAGUCAAUUAACUCUGCUUGCCUCAAUUUCCUCAACUGAAAGGAGUUGGAGAAGAAAAUGGCAAGCUACUCCUUUGCCAAGAAAACCCCAAAUUGGGUCAGAAAAAUUAGGACACAAUUGAACAAGUAAUCUACAGAACUCCCUAUUAAAGCAGUUAAUUUUUUAAAAAUUUUUUUAUCAUUUACAAGCAUUUCAAUAUACAAAGAACAAAAAAGAGGAUUAUAGAGAAAACUUUGAAUUUCUGUUAUGAAUUUUUAAAAGUGUACAUAAAGUAAUUAAGUUUAUCACCUUGUCCAGAAAUGAAAUGAGGUUAAUAAGGCAUAAUCUGUUCAUGAUGAAGUCUAACUUUGUGACCACCAUUUUCUCUUCUAGAUAAUUAUUGUUUUAAACUUUUCUCCCUUCCUUUGCCCUCCUAAUACAUUAUUAGUGGGAUUCAAUCUUUGUAUGGCCCAUCUCUUCAGCACGAGGCUGUCGGGUGCUUUGGUGAAAUCGAUAGCAUUUCCAAGAUCUUCCAGAUCAUCCCAUCCUCACCAAAGGAAAUAAGGGGACUUACUGUGGCCUGGUCUUGAGGACCUUGUUGACACAAGCUUCCUUUUAAUGGUACCUGUUCAAAUGCUGACUAAAAUUACAAGGGAAACCCACUGCUUUAUUUUGUAGAUGAACCAAGGCUUCCUUUUCUGGAGAAUCAGGAGGACAUCUGCUCUUUUCCAGUCCUAGGGCACCUCUUUUAUCCUCCAAUUUUCCAAAGAUUAUCAACAGGGACUCAGCAACAGCAGCAGGUCAAUCGUAGCAGGAGCUCAGCAGCAGCAGCUCAGCAGUUUUAGGCCCAAGUGUAGGCCGUCUUAGUGCUCUGGGUCACUUAGGCCUCUAAGGCCCCAGGUGACUUGCAAGAGUGAGCUCAUCAUAGAGACAUCAGAACUUGAGGAAGAAGCUGCGGACUUGGAGGCAGAAGGGGCCUGGCUUAUUACCCCACCCCCAUCACCAACUAGAUGACUCUACCUUUCCAGAGUCAACUGCAAAAACAUUGAGAAAGGUGGCCCAUUAUUAGCUGUGUAGUACACUGGACGGGAUGUUGGCUCUGAAAGUCAGAGGGCCCGAGUUCAAAUCCCACAUCAGAUGCUGACUGUUGGUGUGACCUGGAAAAUUAUCUCUUCCCUGAACCUUUAGUACUCUUGCCAAAGCCUUAGGACUGGUCUCUCUUCUUCCAGUUCUACUCACACACAGCUUUAUUCAUGUCAUGUCCCUGAUUAAAAACCUUCAAUGUAAUUUUCUUGACUGAGGUAUAAAAGUCUAAACGCCUGAGCCUGGCAUUCAAAGCCCUCCUUUCUCUGGCCCCAGCCUUGCCAAUUUCCCUCGAUUCUCCUUCAUGCACUCUGUAUCGUUUCCGGUGAAUUAGUUGGACUUCAGUGUGUCAAAUAAUCAAUCACCAAGCCCUUGAGCAUCUAGAUGGAGAAGCAGUUAAGAGUGUUGGGCCCAGAAUCAGACCUGAGUUCAAAUUCAGCCUCUGAUAUAAGUUGUGAGGUUUAAGGGAUGGCACUGUGCUGAGCAUUCUGGGUACAAUGAAAAAGACAAUUCCUGCCUUCUAGGAGCUUACAAUUGAAUAAGGGAAGAUGACACAUAAAAGGAGGCAGUAAGAGGGAAGAGGGAAAAGGCGGGAUCAUCUCUAGACAGAUCAUGGCCAACCAUUCUCUUCUUCCCAAGUUCCCGCACCACAUCACCAACUGUCUAUUAUAAAUUCCAAACCAGUGCGUGUGUGUUGUUCUCUGUGAUCAAGUGUAAUCUCCUUGAGGAUACAGAUCAGCUCACUUUUUAUAAUAACCUGCUGCCGGCCUUAUUAAUAAACAGAUCAUAUCACCCAGAAACUAUGUCUCUUGAACCUUUUGAGUUGUCACAGGUGGUUGGUGACACUGCUGGUCAAUGUUUUUUGCUGUCUGCCGCCUAGACGGUGACUUACCAUCAGCGACUGGUGAUGG